rnacentral:tmRNA from 1 species
GGGGCUGACUUGGAUUCGACGGGCGUAGAAGGCUCCAGACUGCACGCCCACCCGGGUAAGUGGUAAAACUGCCCACUAAAAAUAAACGCAGUAAAUAACACUGAUUACACCCCUGCAGUAGCUAAAGCUGCUGCUUAAUUUAAAAACUCAAUAGGGGCUUCCCUCCCUCCGGUCUCCUCCACUGGAGAGAGGGAAGAACGGAAAUUCGGAGGAUAGGGGUAAGGUCUGGAGGGUGGCAGACCUGCCCCGAAACCUUUCCACCCGUCCGAUGGUAUGGGCUUUGCCCUUUGAGCCUACCCAUCGGAGCUAUCCAAUCAAAGGGCUAAGCGUGUAGAGGUCUGGAGUUGCCUGCGUCCGGACUGGGGUUCGAUUCCCCACAGCUCCACCA